AACGAACGCUGGCGGCAGGCUUAACACAUGCAAGUCGAACGCGUGUAGCAAUACACGAGUGGCGCACGGGUGAGUGACGCGUGGAUAUCUGCCUUUUGGUUCGGAAUAACUCCGGGAAACUGGAGCUAAUACCGGAUGGUUCCUUCGGGAUAAAGAUUUAUCGCCAAAAGAUGAGUCCGCGUACGAUUAGCUAGUUGGUGAGGUAAUGGCUCACCAAGGCGACGAUCGUUAGCUGGUCUGAGAGGACGAUCAGCCACACUGGGACUGAGACACGGCCCAGACUCCUACGGGAGGCAGCAGUGGGGAAUAUUGGACAAUGGGGGCAACCUUGAUCCAGCCAUGCCGCGUGAGUGAUGAAGGCCUUCGGGUUGUAAAGCUCUUUUGGCGGGGACGAUGAUGACGGUACCCGCAGAAUAAGCCCCGGCUAACUUCGUGCCAGCCGCCGCGGUAA
rnacentral:rRNA from 1 species